UUUGUUAUGAUUAAUGUGCCACGACAUAAAUGUAGCAAAUAUUAAUUAAACUAAUGCAAACACGUAAUGUUGACACAAAAAUGCCAAAUCUCAAAUUAAGUUGCUCAUCUAAAUCUGAACAUAUUGAACAAAUACAUAUAAUGAUGUCAACAUAAUAAAAAUUGAGUAAACUGUCCUCAAGAUUUAUUGUUUGUUGUUCAAUUAAAGUGGGUACGUUUGGUGUCGCCACCUCAAGAAUCAAAAAGAUUUAAAAAGUAUAACAAGAAGAGACUUGCUGCAAUUGCGUAAACCACAAAUAUGUUAAUCGCUUUAAUAUUGGUAUCAAAAAAUGCUUCAGUAUUUAUAGUAUAUAUGUAUAACUUCUGUUCUUAAAAAUUGCAUUUCAUAACUAA